GGCACACGCCUCUUUCUCCUUCCUCCCUCACGUUUUUCUCUGUGAAACAAGAAAUGGAAGAACAAACUCCCUCCUCAUUUACAGCAAACAACAACAACACAUCUCUAUCUCGUCCCUUUUGCUCUCGGCCCUUCUUACUCGAUGGUGAACAACACACAGCGACUUCCUCUCUCAAUCUCAUGCAAACGAAAGAACAAUCAGUAAGGACAAAUCCUCCCCUUUCUCUCGAUCGUUCAUGGCUUUCUAUAUUCUCGGUGAACAACUAACAACAGCGGUGUUUAUUUUGAUUCCAACAUGGUGGCUUUUCGUCCUAAUCAUCAUUUCUUCCGCGAACGACAACAACAAAGACGCUCUCUCUCGGUUCUCUCUCGGAACAACAAGAAUAACAACCUUCGAAUUUUCGGCGGCCAUAGAACAAGAACCAGAGGAAAAAUCUAGGUAUAACAUAUUCACAACAAUAAUUUAUCAGUAACUUUGGAAGUGAAAGCGUGAAAACUUACCUGCGGCGUGGAGGUUUUCGCCGGUUAUUGUUGAGGUAUAACAACGGUUAGUGUAAAUAUUGAGAACGAAGAAGAGAUACUUACCUGCGGCGAAGAUGUUGAAGUUUCAUCUAUGGGGGCUCGAAGAUUAGAGCCAUCGUUGAAGAGCUACCGGCCAG